UACGUAGGGGGCAAGCGUUGUCCGGAUUUAUUGGGCGUAAAGAGCGUGUAGGCGGCCAAGCAGGUCCGCUGUGAAAACUCGAGGCUCAACCUCGAGACGUCGGUGGAAACCGUUUGGCUAGAGUCCGGAAGAGGAGAAUGGAAUUCCUGGUGUAGCGGUGAAAUGCGCAGAUAUCAGGAAGAACACCCGUGGCGAAGGCGGUUCUCUGGGACGGUACUGACGCUGAGACGCGAAAGCGUGGGGAGCGAACAGG
rnacentral:rRNA from 1 species